UCCCAGCAGAAGCUGUUCCUGUCAGAACUUGCAGCAAAUGGGAGAAGAUGGGAAAGUGGGGGACGUUUUCCAGCAUCAGGGAAUUUGUGGGUGAUGAAAACAAGAUUUCCAGCAGUCCUUUUGCACUAGUCUUGGUUUGUAAAGAGGUAUUCUGCUGUUUUCCUGCCAUUCUUCCCUUCCCUUGAAUUCCUUCUGAAAAUCAGCAGAGUUGGGAAUAACUUCACUGAUACAAAAUUCCCAAAAGUUACCUGAAAGUGUGCAGCUGGACAGAAGAAAAAGAAACCCAGAGCGGAAUCCCCACGAGUGGAAGAAAAAAGCAGAAUAAGGAGGCUCAGUUCUGUAGUUUAUUGAGCCCAGAGGGAUUUCUACAAACCACAUGGCAUCAGGUGUCAAAUGAGGAAUGAAAACCAAGGUGGAACAAUGGAGCAGCCUAAAACUCCCACCGCCCAGCGAGCUCCAGAAAUGUUGGAGAGGCUUAAAUGGCCCCUUAAUGUGCAUCUGCUGGCCACGAGCAGCCUGGUCAAAGUCCUGAGUCAUGUCAUGGGUGUUCUUUCCUUGGACAGGGAGACUCUGCACGUCCUGUGGAGUCCAGGAGUCACAGAAAACAGAGACUGAUGAAAGAUGGUUCCGGGCUGGGAUUUUGGAGAGACUCAACCAGAGCCUGAUUGGAUCCUCCAUCCUGCCUGGAGCUGUGCCACCUCCUUUCCAUUUCUAAAGAUAACUGUGUUUGGAGAAGCUGUUACGUCUUUCUGUCACUCCAUAGCACAGGGUGCUGCAGAACAGAAUGAAGAAAAGCAGCUGAAGAAAGGAAA